GUGGGGAAUAUUGCGCAAUGGGGGAAACCCUGACGCAGCGACGCCGUGUGAGGGAAGAAGGCUUUCGGGUCGUAAACCUCUGUCAGAAAGGAAGAACCUCCCAAGUCCGAAUAGGGCUUGGGACUGACGGUACUUUCAAAGGAAGCACCGGCUAACUCCGUGCCAGCAGCCGCGGUAAUACGGAGGGUGCAAGCGUUAAUCGGAAUCACUGGGCGUAAAGCGCGCGUAGGCCGCUUUGUAAGUCGGACGUGAAAGCCCUCGGCGCCACCGGGGAACUGCGUUCGAUACUGCGAGGCUUGAGUCCUGGAGAGGGUGGCGGAAUUCCGGGUGUAGGAGUGAAAUCCGUAGAUAUCCGGAGGAACACCGGUGGCGAAGGCGGCCACCUGGACAGGUACUGACGCUGAGGCGCGAAAGCGUGGGGAGCAAACAGGAUUAGAAACCCGUGUAGUCC
rnacentral:rRNA from 1 species